CAGGAGACCACCAUUCCCCUCAUAGGACUACAGUUCCUAGAGUUUCCUGGGAAGAAGGAUUGUCUGUUAAACCACACUGGGAAUUGUAGCCCUGUGCAGGGAACUCCCAGCACCCUUAACAAAUUACAGUUCCCAGAAUUCUUUGGGGAAGCCAUGACUGUUUAAAGUGGUAUGACAUUGCUUUAAAUGUAUGGUGGAGAUGGGGUCUUUAAAUGUUUCCUUGCAGCUAUAACUGCCCAGAUAGGAGUGUUCCUGUCAAUGUUUUCAAGUGAGUUGCUAUUGGGCCUAGUCAGCUUAAGGAAACAGUGCCAGGAAAAGGAAGAAGGCUGGACUCUUAAUUUUGUCAUUUCGCUGAGCCAAAGGCCUUGACUGUUGCUUCAGAGCUUUGCUGUGGGGGUCAAACGUUGUAGAUGAAACGUUCAACGAAUUGUCAGAACGCUUUGAACCAACUGUGGGGACCUGGUUCUGCAUUUCCUUUCUGAGAAACGCCCCUCUUGUCCUCCACCUUAACAGUCCAGUUUUCAUCAUCGUAAGAUGCAACAGCUUAUAUCAAUGAAUGAAUGGAUGGAUGGAUUUCAGCUAUUUAUUUGCUACCUCAUCCCUGAAGCUUCUAAGCAGCAUAUAAUAAUAUACAGUGGACAUUAAUCAGUGGCUUGUAUCCAAGCAAGCCUUCCUCACAGUAGAUGGAUUGAAAUGAGUAGACCUCUGAAUGCUGGUUGUUGAGUUCAAAUGGGCAAAGUGCUACUGCAGUCAGGUCCUGCUUGUGGGCUUCCCAGAGGCAUCUGGUUGGCCACUGUGAGAAAACAGGAUUCUGGACUACAUGGACCUUUGGCCUGAUCCAACAGGGCUCUUAAGGUAUUGUUGCACUGUCAUUGUGAUUAUCAUUAGAUACAAUAUAAUGCACAUCAACCUGC